rnacentral:rRNA from 1 species
CCUACGGGAGGCAGCAGUGAGGAAUAUUGGUCAAUGGGCGGAAGCCUGAACCAGCCAAGUAGCGUGCGGGAUGAAGGCCCUACGGGUCGUAAACCGCUUUUGCACGGGGAUAACACCCUCCACUUGUGGAGGUCUGCAGGUACCGUGCGUAUAAGGGCCGGCUAAUUCCGGACCAGCAGCCGCGGUAAUACGGGGGGCCCGAGCGUUAUCCGGAUUCAUUGGGCUAAAAGGGAGCGUAGGCGGGCGUUCAAGUCAGCGGUAAAAUCGCGCGGCUCAACCGCGCCCCGCAGUUGAAACUGGACGCCUUGAGUUCACAACAGGCGAGUGGAAUUCGAGGUGUAGGGGUGAAAUGCAUAGAUAUCACGAGGAACCCCGGUUGCGAAGGCAGCCUGCCGGGGUGCGACUGACGCUGAGGCGCGAAGGUGCGGGUAUCAAACAGGAUUAGAUACCCUGGUAGUC